rnacentral:lncRNA from 1 species
AUCUCCAUUUACAGAUCAGUCACAAUUUGUGAAAUGAUCCUCUGGACCAACUUUGUAAUGCGCUGCUAUGGCAGUCAAGGAAAGAAUUCUCUCGCAUUGCGCUGGGUUUCCCACCAUUCAGGAGAUGCUGUAGAAACAGAAAACUCAUUCUUAAACAUUGCAUCCUUCAUUCAGCCUCAUGAUGACAGGAUGGAAAACAGUCUCUCUUGGCCCACACAUGAGACUCAUUGUAAGAAUAUUUGCUCAGCUCCAAAUUCGUGGAUAGCUUUUGACUGACAUCUAUUCACUUCAAGGGUGAUUUUCCUGUUGGCAAGAGGCAGAAGAGACACACCAAGCAUCACCUUCCGGAACAAGCAAUUUAAGUACUAUAAUGAGAUGGGUCUUUUCAGAGUCUAUAAUUGGUGACAAGGUAUGGCAGCUUCAUAUCAGACAAAGAUGUACAACACAGAGCUUAUUAAUGAGGAUGGA